rnacentral:rRNA from 1 species
UGCCAGCCGCCGCGGUAAUACGGAGGGUGCAAGCGUUAAUCGGAAUUACUGGGCGUAAAGCGCAUGCAGGCGGUUUGUUAAGCGAGAUGUGAAAGCCCCGGGCUCAACCUGGGAACAGCAUUUCGAACUGGCAAACUAGAGUUCUUGAGAGGGAGGUAGAAUUCAUAGUGUAGCGGUGGAAUGCGUAGAUAUUAUGAAGAAUACCAGUGGCGAAGGCGGCCUCCUGGAUCUGUACUGACACUGAGGUGCGAAAGCGUGGGUAGCGAACAGGAUUAGAUA